UCGGAUAUGGUGUAACGGCUAACAUUAGCGCCUCUCAUGCAUUCUCCCAAGUCCCUAAGAUUGCGCGCUAGCUCGGGGUUCGAUUCCCCGUAUCCGAA